GUCGGAGUCGAGUCAUAUCGUGUUGUUGACUCGAGACGGGUCAAUAGUGGCUUAAGAUCUAUCACGCCGACGUCAACUCAGACGUUGGAGCAGAGGAUGGAAUUAGGACGUCUCCUAAAUAAAUGGAUAGCUUAGGAUCUACAAUCGCGACGUGAAAUAUCUAAAACGGCAAGCGGAAGUAAAUUGAUAAUAAUUUUCGAUGUGUGCAUUCGUGUGUCCCAAUUGGGCAUCGUCCACUAAACGUCGACAACUUCACAACAAGGGUUUUGCCAUCGUGAAUAAAAGAGCAUAACAAACGC